UACGAACUGUGCGAACGUUAUUCGGAAUCACUGGGCUUAAAGGGUGCGUAGGCGGCUGCCUAAGUCAGGUGUGAAAUCUCUCGGCUCAACCGGGAAACUGCGCUUGAUACUGGGCGGCUCGAGUGAGGUAGGGGUGUGUGGAACUUCCGGUGGAGCGGUGAAAUGUGUAGAUAUCGGAAGGAACGCCAGCAGCGAAAGCGGCACACUGGGCCUUUUCUGACGCUGAGGCACGAAAGCCAGGGGAGCGAACGGGAUUAGAUACCCCGGUAGUCCUGGCCGUAAACACUGAACACUCGAGGAGGGGGGCUUCGGCCUUCUUUCUCUUAGCGAAAGCGUUAAGUGUUCCGCCUGGGGAGUAUGGUCGCAAGGCUGAA
rnacentral:rRNA from 1 species